rnacentral:rRNA from 1 species
ACCCCGGGACCUUUACUAUACCUUGGUAUUGGCAUUCGGUGUGGAUUGUGUAGCAUAGGCGGGAGGCCGAGAGGCGCGGUCGCCAGAUCGCGCGGAGCCGUAAGGUGAAAUACCGCUCUGUUCGCAUUGGAUGUCUAACCUCGAACAGUCAUCCUGUUCAGGGACAGUGCCUGGCGGGUAGUUUAACUGGGGCGGUUGCCUCCCAAAGAGUAACGGAGGCGCCCAAAGGUCCGCUCAGCCCGGUUGGCAAUCGGGUGGCGAGUGCAAGUGCACAAGCGGGCUUGACUGCGAGGACGACGGUCCGAGCAGGGACGAAAGUCGGGACUAGUGAUCCGGUGCCGGUGUACGGACGCGGCAUCGCUCAACGGAUAAAAGGUACCCCGGGGAUAACAGGCUGAUCAUUCCCAAGAGUCCAUAUCGACGGGAUGGUUUGGCACCUCGAUGUCGGCUCGUCGCAUCCUGGGGCUGGAGCAGGUCCCAAGGGUUCGGCUGUUCGCCGAUUAAAGCGGCACGCGAGCUGGGUUCAGAACGUCGUGAGACAGUUUGGUCUCUAUCCUCUGCGCUCGUUGGAAUCCUGAGGAGGCCUGCCCAUAGUACGAGAGGACCUGGGUGGACGAACCUCUGGUAUGCCGGUUGUCACGCCAGUGGCACGGCCGGUUGGCUACGUUCGGAAGGGAUAACCGCUGAAAGCAUCUAAGCGGGAAGCCUGCUCCAAGAUAAGCAUUCCGUGGAACCUUCGAGUUCCUGUAGUCCCCAUGCAGAACACGUGGUUGAUAGGCCGGACGUGGAAGCCCCGCGAGGGGUGGAGCCGACCGGUACUAACGGACGAAAGGCAACACUAA